CUACACCUCUCUAUUCGUCGGCAGCGUCAGAUGUGUAUAAGAGACAGAUGUAAGACGGUACGUACUUCUAAAAACUACAAUUGGAUAUGGUGUAUAGUAAGUAGGUAUCCAGGAAAAUUCAUAAAUAUAUUGACCGUACCCUAAACCGACACAGGUGAACGAGUCGAAUAGACUCAGGUGAUGAGAGAACCACAUUGAAGGAACUCGGCAAAAUAUUCCCGUACCUUAGGAAGAAGGGAAGCCAAAAAUGGUGACACAAAAAUGGGGGUGACGACUUUUUACUAAAAAAUUAGGACUCUGCUAAAUGGUAACAUGACGUAUAGGGUCUGACGUCUGCCCGGUGCUAGAAGUCUAAAAGGCGCAUUGCAAGAUGCAAAUGGAAAGCCUAGUAAACGGCGGUUGUAACUAUAACAAUCAUAAAGUAGCGAAAUUCAUUGCCAGCUAAUUCCUGGCCUGCAUGAAAGACGUAACGAUUGCCCCACUGUCUCCAGUGUGGACUCAGUGAAAUUGAAUUCUCCGUGCAGAUGCGGAGUACGUGCCCCAAGACGAGAAGACCCUGUGCAUCUUUACUGUACAUUUACAUUGACAAAACCAUACGUAUGUGUAGGAUAGGUGGGAGUACAAACAUCCUUGAAAUACCACCCUUACUAUGUUUUUUGUCUAACAUCGGAGAUAGACAAUGUAUGUGAGGCAGUUUGACUGGGGCGGUCGCCUCCUAAAGAGUAACGGAGGCGUGCGAAGGUAAACUCAAUGUAGAUCGGAAACCUACUGAAGAGCGUAAUGGUAUAUGUUUGCCUGACUGCAAGAUUUACAGAUCGAGCAGAGACGAAAGUCGGUCAUAAUGAUCCACAAGUACUGCGUGGAAAGGCUUGUGCUUAACGAAUCAAAGAUACGCCAGGGAUAACAGGCUGAUAAUUCCCUAGAGUCCAUAUCGACGGAAUUGUUUGGCACCUCGAUGUUGACUGAUCAUAUCCUGGGGCUGAAGAAGGUCCCAAGGGUUCGGCUGUUCGCCGAGUAACAUGGUACCUGAGUUGAGUUUAGAACGUCGUGAGACAGUUUGGAUUCUACCUGGGGUGCGCGUAAGAAUUGAGAAAACCACAUCCUUGUACGAGAGGACCGGAUGUGUACAACCUCUGGUAUAGUAAUUGUCCGGCCACGGGCAUGGUUACUACGCUACGUUGUGAAAGGAUAAGUACUGAAAGCAUAUCAAGUACGAAACUUUUUUCAAGACAUAUUCUUUAUCGUAUUGUAUAUCGUACAAGUUGAGUACGUUAAUAGAUAAGCUGUGUAUUAUUUGUAAAAAUAGAAGCAUCCUUAUACUAAACUAUACAUUUUUUUUUCUGU
rnacentral:rRNA from 1 species